rnacentral:rRNA from 1 species
AGAGUUUGAUCCUGGCUCAGGAUGAACGCUAGCGGCAGGCUUAACACAUGCAAGUCGAGGGGUAUAGGUUUUCGAACCUAGAGACCGGCGCACGGGUGCGUAACGCGUAUGCAAUCUACCUUUUACUGAGGGAUAGCCCAGAGAAAUUUGGAUUAAUACCUCAUAGCAUUAUUGAAUGGCAUCAUUUAAUAAUUAAAGUCACAACGGUAAAAGAUGAGCAUGCGUCCCAUUAGCUUGUUGGUAAGGUAACGGCUUACCAAGGCAACGAUGGGUAGGGGUCCUGAGAGGGAGAUCCCCCACACUGGUACUGAGACACGGACCAGACUCCUACGGGAGGCAGCAGUGAGGAAUAUUGGUCAAUGGGCGCAAGCCUGAACCAGCCAUGCCGCGUGCAGGAUGACGGUCCUAUGGAUUGUAAACUGCUUUUGCACAGGAAGAAACACUCGGACGUGUCCGAGCUUGACGGUACUGUGAGAAUAAGGAUCGGCUAACUCCGUGCCAGCAGCCGCGGUA